UACGGAGGGAGCUAGCGUUGUUCGGAUAUACUGGGCGUAAAGCGCACGUAGGCGGCGCAGCAAGUCAGGGGUGAAAUCCCGGAGCUCAACUCCGGAACUGCCUUUGAAACUGCAGUGCUAGAAUCCUGGAGAGGCGAGUGGAAUUCCGAGUGUAGAGGUGAAAUUCGUAGAUAUUCGCAAGAACACCAGUGGCGAAGGCGGCUCACUGGCCCGAUACUGACGCUGAGGCACGAAAGCGUGGGGAGCAAACAGG
rnacentral:rRNA from 1 species